UAUGCAGAGAAAACAAUAGAGCAUUGAACAGUUUGAUCUUUGUCUCGUCUGACCUCAUUACAUUCUCCCAGUAACCUACAGGCUUCUCCAAAUGUUCUGUAGCAAGCUUGAAACGAGCUUCAACAUGCCUUUUCUACAGUAAUGGAAUCAAGGCGUGAUGGUGAAUGGAGACUGUAGCAGUAUUGCGCACUGCAUAUUGCUUUCUCUGACGACUGUACUCGCUGCUUCCAGUUCUUUCUGGAGAGCUUUUCGAGUGGUCCUCGGCUCUUGGGCUUCUCCUCUGCGUAACUUUGUCAGCCCUGUCAGAAAUCUUGCGAGGAGCUCCUGCGUGUGGCCGGUUGAUAGUCACCUAAUGGUGCUUAAAGGAACAUUUGGGAGUAAUUCUUUGGAGAGCGCUUUGCUUCUACUCAUCAUGAGAUGUUUCUUGCGCGACAGUUUGGUGACAAAUGAUUUGUUUACUUGUAUUCAGAGGUGGGUUCCCCUUUUCCACAGAGUGGACGUACUAACCUACCAUCAUACACUAACCCAGCUGAUUCUAAUUAGCACAGGUAGGAGAACUGUUUUUUCUUGUUCAAUACUUAAUUCCUGUGUCAUUCCACUUUAUUGCACAUAACUUUUUUAUGGAUUGGUAUAUUAUGAUUUCUUUAGCGGUGUAGCUUCAUCGAGUUAACACCCAUGUCGGGUCUACAUUUCAUGUGAAAACAUUUAUAUGGACAGCGGUAAUCUAAUUAUUGACCUUAUUCUGAAUAAGACAAUACUGUGAUUAAGGUGUUUACAUGAGUCGCUUUUAGAAUAUCCCUGUUUUAUAUAUUAUAAAACACAGAUCGACUAAAACAGAAAUACUCCACACGUCUUAAUUUGUUUUGUGUUUACAUGAGUCGCUUUUAGAAUAUCCCUGUUUUAUAUGUUAUAAAACACAGAUCGACUAAACAGAAAUACUCCACACGUCUUAAUUUGUUUUGUGUUUACUUCCGAGUAUGACUUUAAUCGGAUUAAGGUAAUAAAUUUUUUUUAUUUACAUGCUAGUUUCCUGAUCAGAGUAUCGUCUUAAUCGGGUUAAUAUCGGAUUAUUGUUGUCCAGUAAACAUACUGAUUUACCCACACGAUAGUUUAAUAAUAUUUCAUUAGACACUGCCAUCUGGUGGCUGAUUUUAUACUUGAACUGGAGACACAGCAGAUAUUCCAGCUCUAAGGAUCAUCAUUAAUCUCACUAAUGUUUAAUCGUAUUAGGAUUGGUGCCGUUUAUUUGGAUUCCAUUAAGCAGAAAUACUCAGGGUGCUGUUGACUAUUAAUAUAAUCCUUGUCCAUCUGUAGGAAAUAGAAGAGCCCGAAUUAACAGGAAGAACAUAGGCAUAUUUCUGAGACUGUACUUACCGAGUCACAUCUUUCAAACUAUCCUUCUGAGUGUGUUUUAAUUAAUUUGACUCACUAUUACGACACACUUUACUGAUUCUUUCCAACUACCCGUCUAAGUGAGAUCUGAUUCACUUUGAAUCGAAACACAUCGCUACUCUGCACAACUACAGCUUCAGUUUGACUCCUCUUGAUAAAAACACUCGUCCAGCGCUAGAAGAACAAGAGACUGGUUUACGUGAUGAAUCAUUCCAUUUACACUUGAAUAAUGUCUCCAAGCUGCAGUUAGCGUUAGCCUGGCAGGUAUAUAUUAUUAGAAUAUAUUACUGAAACAGUGUUAACUUGAAUAACGAAGGCUGCGGUUCACUCUACAGGUAAGUAUUUAAAGACUACACCAUGUUGUUCUAUGCGUUUUGUUCACAGAGAGCUUUUUAGUGAAGCCGUGAGCUGCUGAAUGAUUUCUGAGUUUUUAAUUUAAUCUCUGAUCCAGAAUCCUAAAUUGUGGUGGUCUCCUUUACCUACCGUGUAGUGAUUAGAAGACUAUCAUGAUUCAGUGAUCCCGUGUGUGAAGCUGCUCCGUUUUGGACUCUGUAUAGCAAUAAAAAUACACAACCAUUUUAUCAUGAGAUCUGCUGGACAAUUUAAAAAUAAAUAAAUAAAUCAG
ensembl:lncRNA